rnacentral:lncRNA from 1 species
CAGGACCUUUCCAGCCGCCUGAGCCCCUCCUGUGGCCUGCCAGGACCAUUUGACCUGACUGAGCCCCUCCUGUGACCUGCCAGGACCCUUCGACCCGGCUGAGCCCCUCCUGUGACCUGCCAGGACCCUUCGACCCGGCUGAGCCCCUCCUGUGACCUGCCAGGACCCUUCCAAACACACUCAACCCAUCCUGUGGUCUUCCAGGAUCCUUCCAUCCCCUCCCAACCCAUCCUAUGAUCUGCAAGGACCCUUCCAUCCCAACUCAACCCCUCCUACGACCUGCAAGGACCCUUCCACCCCCACCCAACCCCUCCUAUGACCUGCAAAGACCCUUCCAUCCCAACUCAUCCCUUCCUAUGACCCGUAAGGACCCUUCCAUCUCUUCCCAACCCCUUCUCUGACCUGCAAGGACCC